rnacentral:lncRNA from 1 species
AGAAACAGUUCAGCAGCAAGUUUAGAUAACCUACAAAAUAUGGAAAAAGUGGAACUUACCCACCUAAUUUUAAUCGUACAACACUGACAGUAAGAAACUGCCAUGAAAGGAGGAAGUAGACCCUGGGAAGCAAGCUACACAGCAGUGUCUUCUGUAACUUUGGAUGCUAUUAAAAAAAUUCAGCAAAGUUUGGCAGGAUCAUACAGCUUUUGGAGAUAUUGCAUGACAGUGUAUCAGAGAAUCCACAUGGCAGAGAACAUCUAUGAAUGGUCCAAUUGCAGAAAAAGCUUCAGUCAGAUCUUGCACCUUGUUAGGUGCAAACAACCCCAAAAACAGUUCAUGUUCUGAUUGAGAAGCUUAAAGCCCUAACUAAAGUCAUCCCUGCUAAGAGUUGCCAUCCUCUUAGAGCUGCUGGUGGACCUGCUGGUAUUGAACUGCUUUCUAACCUAUUUCAGUGAAGAUGAACUGCCUUCUCAUAAACAGCCUUUUUGGGUAAGCUUACAGAAUGCUCAUGAAAAGUAACACGAGCAGUAAGUAAAAAGCAACUUCCAUCUGCAGA